GAUGGCUGAUUUACAGAUUUCAGACUGAUUUAUGGGAUAACGGCUGACUUACGAACAAAAGUUAGGCCUCACUUAUACAUCGGCAGGCUGAUUUCUCAAAAAUUCGGCUGAGUUAUAGUUAAGACAUGACUGAGUUUUGUUUCGUCGGCUGAUUUAAUGAUCAUCGCCUAGCUGAGUUACUAAAUUUAGGGCUGAAUUAUGGGAGGUUGUUACGACUGAGUUAUAUUUAACCAGCCGUAACUGGCUGGAUUAACAGUAAACUCGGCUUAAUUACGACUGAUUUAUUAGCGAAAGAAUAAUUACUAGAAUAUCAUUCGU
rnacentral:lncRNA from 1 species